CAUCCUCCCCAAGUUGAGCUUGGCGAAGCAGGGAGUUUGUUGGGGUUACUUACAGGAGCAGGGGUGACUGGAAGACAGGACAGCAUGGGUGACCGCUGUCUGGAAGCCGUGUAACUGGAGCUGUGUGAGCUGCAGGCAGCUCCCUGCAGAAGUCGCUCUCCUUCCUUCCAGCAGAGCCUGUGCAACUGUGGGGUGAAGCCUUGUAAGCUGUGUUACUUUCUCAGUUUUGUACAUUUUCCUCUUCCACACAGCAGGUGCUUCUCGGGCUAACUCUGCGCUGGAGGAUUGGAUGGCAGGAGCAGGGAAGGAAGGCAUGGCUGGCAGAAAGCUGAGAGAACAGACAGGACCAGGCUCAGCUCACUAAGACUCGAAGAGGAAGGCAACUCUGCCCAUCCAUCUCAUUCCAUUGAGACCCACAGGUCAGGUCUGACCUCGAGUGCAGUAGACCGAAGUACAGGUGCUAGGUCUGUGGGACUCCAUCACAGCAACAGUGAAACCUGCACGCUCUGCAUUGCCGGUCCCACACUGUCACCAGGGAGAUUGCAGAAGUGCUAGUUCCUCGUGGUUACGCCUGGGGUCUGGAGUCUGGCAGGUCUGGGCUGGAAUCCAGACCUGGCCCACAUGGGCCCACAUGCUGCUGCUUGUGCAAUUUUGGACAACUUAUGUCACCGGUGUGAGCCUGUUCCAGCUGCAGAGGGGGAAAGGGACAGAGCCGUUGCUUCACCAGGCUGCUCUGAAGCUUAAAUCAGGUUUCAGUCUUUCGUGGCAGGGAAGUGAAAGCCGCAGAAGUGUGAGAUGUUUGAAGAGCAGCUCAGGACCACUCUGUGGCAUUUCCAACCCAUGGCCUGAUCAGUGGGAGCUGCAGACCAGUCCUUAAUGGCUGGCUGGGCACUGAAGUCUUCAGUAGGAGCUGCUGGAUGGACCCCUGCCGGCCUUUAGACCAGUCUGCUUCCUCCGGCUAAGCAGCGGCCAAUCCAUUUGUCUUGAAAUCACUCUUUGGUUACACCCUUUUCGGCGGUGGCUUGCUUUUUGAUCUUUAUAAAUGUGCAUAUCAGGCAUAACUUCCAUGAAUGGUCACGAGAAGGGAUGCCACGCAUAUGUGGAACUUCUUAGGCCAGACGUCAUCCACCACAUUGGACCUACCGAGUGACCUCCCCUGUUGCGUGUCCGCAAAGCACAGAGGAGAAGCUGUGCGACACCGAGCCACGGUGGGCAGGUUGAUAUGAGACCCGGGGGUCAGCCAUGGGGUCAUUCAUCAUCCAAAGGUGUGGCUCUCUGGAGGUUGGCUGGAUCUGGUUAGUGAAGGUCCAGGAAAGAAGCGGCCAGCAAUUGAGUGGCUCCAGGAACAGCGGAACUCGGGCACAGCUAGCUGCUCAUGUGCAGGAGGAGCUGGCUCUGAGGUCAGGAGGAGUCUCAAUAACGCCAAUGGCUAGAGCAGCAGGGGCCUGCAAGCAGCAGCAGCUUCUCGCAGUGUCUUCAGAUUUAUGAUGCGAUGCGGAUGAUAUCACUUUGCUCUCUGUGGAGACUCUAUAAGGAAGUCAAGGUUGGUGCCGCCCAUGUAGGUUUCUGCUGCAAGGGAUCUGAGAACAUCCAUUUCCUUAAUCUUCAGGACAUCAAGGACUCCAGACAUUGUGGUUUUCCUAUAAGUUACGGCAAGAAUCAAGAACAAUGCUCAACAGUGCAGUGUGGACCUUCCUGGGCAGUGGGAAGCCGCCUUUUGUUUCUUCUUUUUCUGUUUGGUUGGGAAUGUUCAGCCCUGUAAUGAGGUCAUGUGAGAAGCUGUUUCCUUACUUCAGGCCCUGGUUAUUCAUAUUCUGGAAGGCGGUGUCCCAGCAGCUGACUCUUGGAGGCCCGGCUUUCCUUUAUUUUUAAUUAUUUCCUUAAUUAGUUAUUUGGGUCAUUAAAGUUUAGGAAUACUCGUUGGCCAGUAAAAAGCAAACAGAGGAACAGUUUCGGUGUCGAAGGUUGUACCUGUUGUGAUGUGGGAGCUGAGGGAUGUGGAAUUUGAGGCUUUGGGGAAUCCCCAUAAGAGGAGAGAAAAUGAGGACAGGAGACAGAUUUAUAUAUCAGCAGCUGUGCUAGCUGCCCAGCGAUGUUCUUGGGUCUUCAGAGGAGCUCCUUAGUGUUGACCUUUGCUGCCGAGGCUCUAUGAGUGAAAAAGAAACAUGGAUUCUAAUUGUCCCCGAGGGCACAGGCAUUUCGUGCUCUGGUGUAGGAGGGGACGGGAGACUGGAAACUAUAUUUCCUGUGUAUCCCACAAGAUUUCAUCCCCUCCUUUUGUUAUUUUCUUUAUGUAGCU